GCCUGAUGGAGCUAUGCCAUGUGAAUGAUGAAGAUCUUUUUGAUUGUAAAGUUCUUUUAUUGGGGAAAAUGAUGAUGGUACCCGAUGAAUAAGUGACAGCAAACUAUGUGCCAGCAGCUGCGGUAAUACAUAGGUCGCUAGCGUUAUUCGGAUUUAUUGGGCGUAAAGCAAGCGCAGGCGGACGAGUAAGUUCUGUGUUAAAAGCAGCAGCUCAACUGUUGUUUGCGCCGAAUACUGCUCGUCUAGAAUACGGUAGAAAGUUUCGGAAUUGAAUAUGGAGCGGUGGAAUGUGUAGAUAUAUUCAAGAACACCAGAGGCGAAGGCGGAAACUUAGGCCGCUAUUGACGCUUAGGCUUGAAAGUGUGGGGAGCAAAUGGGAUUAGAUACCCCAGUAGUCCACACCGUAAACGAUGGAUAUUAGAUGUUGGGACUUGAGUCUCAGCGUUGUAGCUUACGUGUUAAAUAUCCCGCCUGAGUAGUACAUAUGCAAAUAUGAAACUCAAAGGAAUUGACGGGGACCUGAACAAGUGGUGGAACAUGUUGCUUAAUUCGACAAUACACGAAAAACCUUACCAAGAUUUGACAUCCCUUGCUAAACCCUAGAAAUAGGGUGGAAGUUAUCAAGGUGACAGGUGGUGCAUGGCUGUCGUCAGCUCGUGUCAUGAGAUGUUUGGUUAAGUCCCGCAACGAGCGUAACCCUACUCUUUAGUUAGCUUUUUAGAGAGACUGCACAGUAAUGUAGAGGAAGGAUGGGAUCACGUCAAGUCAUCAUGCCCCUUAUAUCUUGGGCCGCAAACGUGUUACAAUGGCGAGUACAGCGUGUCGCAAACCAGCGAUGGUAAGCCAAUCACUAAAAGCUCGUCUCAGUCCGGAU
rnacentral:rRNA from 1 species